AAACAAGUUGUCCCAAAUAGCCUCUUUUCUCUCCCUGUGAGAGUUCUUCCCUCUGUUUGAGGGUGCUUCUCACCAUAUUGUGUGAGUGAUUUCCCAAUCGUGCUUCCGUUUGGUGCCGCUGAUCUUAGUUGCGGUUGGGAUCGGUGGCGCUGUGGAUGUGAUGAUCGGCGGUGGACAGAGGAUUGGAUGGCUGGCUGCUUCUCAGAUCGACGGUGGAGAGCACAAUGGAUGUUUCUCGGAUGUUCGUUUUUGUUUGGUCUUCAUUGUUGUUGGGUUUUAUGUGUUUUCUUUGUCUUUAAGCCCAUUCUUUGUUUGUUUCUAGGAGUAAAUUGGGUCUUUGAUUUGUUUGUAAGUGUGUGUUUGUUUUAAUAAAAGCUCAUCGUUCGCGAUC